UCCCUCAGUAGCUGCGAGCGAACAGGGAAGAGCCCAGCGCCGAAUUCCGCGUCCGAAAGGGCGUCUGGAACAUGUGGCGUUUAGGAGGAAUCUCUCCGAGGGCAGACGGUGUCGCAAGUCCCCCUGAACGGGGCUGUGAUCCAGAGCGGGUGCGAGGCCCAUAGCUGGUACCGUCUCCUUCGGGUGUCGCCUCCUUGGAGUCGGGUUGCUUGGGAGUGCAGCCCUAAUUGGGUGGUAAACUCCACCUAAGGCUAAAUACGUCCGUGAGACCGAUAGCAAACAAGUACCGUGAGGGAAAGUUGCAAAGAACUUUGAAGAGAGAGUUCAAGAGUACGUGAAACCGCUCAGAGGCAAACGGGUGGGCCCACGAAAGCCGAAGGCGGGGGGAUUCAGUCGAGAGGACGGCGGGGCAAGACUGGCUGGUCGGACGGACCGUGCCAGGCCGGGUCAGUUCCCGAGAUCCGUCGCCUUUCGACGCACUUCCCUCUGCUUAGUAGGACGCCGCAACCGGUCGGUGCUGCAGCCAUAAGGGAGAGUAUUCGGAAGGUAGCCAGCGAGUUCUUCUUCGGAGGCGCAAGCUGGUCCUAAGCCCGCUCCCCUGGUGCUUGUGGUCCGACCGUGGUCAGAGUCCCUGAACGGGAUGUUGCCGAGCCCUCCGUAYGGAGUGGGAGAGACUGCAGGCCACCUUCUGUGACGUUGCUUCACGCAUGCAGUGUGCAAGCGUUCGGAGGUGACUGCUGGCCUGUCUUUUCCCGCGCCGGGCACAGGCAGUUGGCGGCGAGUAGGUCGGUCACCCACCCGACCCGUCUUGAAACACGGACCAAGGAGUCUAACAUGUGCGCGAGUCAUUGGGUCUCGAAGAAGCCCAAAGGCGCAAUGAAAGUGAACACCAGCACUGAAGCUGGUGGAGUUGGGAAACUGCGUCGACGACGGCGCGGUUGCACCAACGGCCCGUCCCGUCCGCAUCGUCGGUGGGGCGGAGCGAGAGCGUACACGUUGGGACCCGAAAGAUGGUGAACUAUGCCUGGGCAGGACGAAGCCAGAGGAAACUCUGGUGGAGGUCCG
rnacentral:rRNA from 2 species